CCAGGAAAUAGUGAGGGACAGGGAAGCCUGGCAUACUGCAGUCCCUGGGGUCACAAAGAGUCAGACAUGACUGAGCGACUGAACAAUAGCAACAACUGUUACUCACAUUAAUAGCUCUCCUCUCCCCUGUGGACUCACAAACCCACCUCCUAUCCCAAGGAAUCUCUGGCAACACUCUAGAAUGACCUCACUGUGCUCUGGAUUGGCUAAGAUCUUCAAAAGCCAACAAAGAAGAAACAACGUGAAUUAGCUUUUUCUUCAUUCUUGCGGCUGCCUUCUUGCCGUUUUCUGAGGGCUGUGAGGAGGUGUGCGCCAGCUGAAGCGCGCCUGCUGAAGCUCUCCUGCUGCAACGGACUGCAAAGAAGCGUGGCCGAGAGGAGCUAACCCUCACACAAGGUCAGGGGCAGUGACCGAGAGGAGCUACCCCACUUCCGAGGUCAGGGGAGGCGGCCGAGAGGAGCUACCACACGUCCAAGGAGCGGUGGCUGUGUGGGCGCACGACGGCGGAGAGGAGCUACUCUACGUUCAAGGUCAGACGGGCGGCAGUGAGGAGAUACCCCUCAUCCAAGGUAAGGAGCAGCGGCUGCGCUUUGCUAGAGCAGUCGUGAAAAGACACCCCAUGCCCAAGGCAAGAGAAACCCAACUGAGAUACCCCACGUCCAAGGACUCCAGGAGAGAGGGAGGCAGUUUUUGCUGAAGUUCCUUGCUCCUCUGGAGGCCCAUCCUCAUCAUGUCUUCUUCAGAGGGUAAGGAGCAGCGACUGUGCUUUGCUGGAGCAUCCGUGAAAAGAUACCCCACUCCCAAGGUUUUCUUUAUGAUUUGCUCCUGACGGAAUGACUGAACAUUUACUUAGGCUUGAGAUAUGAUCUUCACUUUGUUUGAGAACUUGAUGGUUUUACUUCAGAAAUAUUUGACAAAUUUUAAAAGAGGCUAUGAAAGGCAGCCACCUGUGGCCACUAGACCAAAUCUUCCUGGACUAUUGAGAUUUAUUAGAAGAACAGCUCUCUGCAGUGUCAACAAAUCUUGAAUCUCUGACAAAUGGACAGUGUGCAAGCUGAGGAUUAUUACCAUCAUGAAUUCACACACCCACAGAAACUUUGUCUAAUUAUGUCAGUCUUUGGGUUUGCACAUUUCUUCCCAAUGCUAGAAGGGAAGGUUAUACUUACCCUUAAGAGCUAUGCUGCUAAAUGAGAGAACUAGCAAAAUUAGCCUUUAGAAAUCUUGAAACACUCUCCUUCCUUAUCACCUUCCUCAACUAACUGGCUUUGUUUCCCUCUGUCCUACCUGCUUAUAUUAAAUGAAACACACGAUCCUUUUGAGGAAAUUGCUACAUCUUCUAAAUCAGUUGGAACCAUUGGUUUUCCUCUGCUCCUCCACCUCUCAAAAAUCAGAGUGAUUUUGGUUCCCAACAUUUUUUUGCUUUCUUCUGAGCACUUAAGCAAUUAAAUUAAGAAAGAAUUCAGAAACAAUAGAUGGUAGAAGAGGCUUUAUGUAGAAAGAAAAUAAAAGAUUAAAGUGAGGAGGAAAACUCUAUGAGAGUGAAAACGGCAAAUGUCUUGAAUUAUAUUCAAUAAUGUAGUUAGUUUACUGAAUGACCAUUUGCACCUUAGUUAAGAAAAAGGAAAAAAACAGGUUCAGCAUUUUCAUCAACUGUAUCAGGACUCUCCUAACCCCCAAAUACCUCCAUUGUCUGUCUCAAGAAUAUUUACACUUCAGGAUGCCUUUCUUUAUCUUCAAAAAUACAAUGUGGAAAAUGUUGAUUUAAGGUAAUGAGAAUUUUUGUUGGAAUGCAAAUAUGUCAUCCAUGAGGUAACUUGUUAAACCAUUCUUAUCCUAGAGAACAAUAGCUCAUCCAAUUGUCUUACCCGGUUAAUAGAAUUCCAG
ensembl:lncRNA